rnacentral:rRNA from 1 species
GACGAACGCUGGCGGCGUGCUUAACACAUGCAAGUCGAACGGUAAGGCCCCAGCUUGCUGGGGUACACGAGUGGCGAACGGGUGAGUAACACGUGGGUGACCUGCCCCGCACUUCGGGAUAAGCCUGGGAAACUGGGUCUAAUACCGGAUAGGACCGCACCGUGAGGGUGUGGUGGAAAGUUUUUCGGUGUGGGAUGGGCCCGCGGCCUAUCAGCUUGUUGGUGGGGUAAUGGCCUACCAAGGCGGCGACGGGUAGACGGCCUGAGAGGGUGGACGGCCACAUUGGGACUGAGACACGGCCCAGACUCCUACGGGAGGCAGCAGUGGGGAAUAUUGCACAAUGGGCGGAAGCCUGAUGCAGCGACGCCGCGUGGGGGAUGACGGCCUUCGGGUUGUAAACUCCUUUCACCAUCGACGAAGGUUUUCUGACGGUAGAUUGAGAAGAAGCACCGGCUAACUACGUG